rnacentral:rRNA from 2 species
GUAUGUGAUCAUACCAGCACUAAAGCACCGGAUCCCAUCAGAACUCUGAAGUUAAGCGUGCUUGGGCGAGAGUAGUACUAGGAUGGGUGACCUCCUGGGAAGUCCUCGUGUUGCAUUCC